rnacentral:rRNA from 1 species
GGUUAAGCGACUAAGCGUACACGGUGGAUGCCCUGGCAGUCAGAGGCGAUGAAGGGCGUGCUAAUCUGCGAUAAGCGCCGGUAAGGUGAUAUGAACCGUUAUAACCGGCGAUACCCGAAUGGGGAAACCCAGUGUGACUCGUCACACUAUCAUUAACUGAAUCCAUAGGUUAAUGAGGCGAACCGGGGGAACUGAAACAUCUAAGUACCCCGAGGAAAAGAAAUCAAAUCA